AACCUUGAACCACUUUGUCUGAAAAACUAUUAUGAAUACUUAAUUCAAAAUACAACUUUCAACAACGGAUCUCUUGGCUCUCGCAUCGAUGAAGAACGCAGCGAAAUGCGAUACGUAAUGUGAAUUGCAGAAUUCAGUGAAUCAUCGAAUCUUUGAA
rnacentral:rRNA from 1 species